UAACACUCAGAUUCUCUGUCAUUAACUCUCAGUCUUUUGAAUAUAUAGUCAGCUGAGGCUCCUGAAACAGAGAGACAAAGCCUUUCUAACUGGCCUGUGUUGACAGCCGCGCCAGUCCUUUGACUGAAUUAACACAUAUUGUAGCCUGUCCGUCUUAAAAACAGGACACACAUCGUUUAUGCGUUAUUAAGUCUUGUAAUUGGGCGGUCAGUAGUUUGCAUAUUACACCAUUAGGGUAAUAUGUUUUGCUUCUCUCUGCCCAUGACCGUUGGAGGCCCCCGGUGACAAGUUCGGUAAUUCUCGGAAUUAUGACCUAAUCAUCACAAAUGUUCUUUCGAUCUGGGUGGACAGACCAGCUAUAUGUGAUGAAAACUGAGAUGCUGAGCAAAAGCCUAAGUGUUCUUUUCAUCUAUUGCAUCUUCGUGCUCUUUCUCAGGCCUGAGGUACAUACAUAUGCACAGACACACUGCAUCACAGUAAACAUUAAGACAGGCCAGCGUAGAAACGUAGAUAACAGAUAACCAGCAGGGUAAAGUGUGAUUUUCAUUGGCACCUAUCAGCCAUGCAACUCCAUGUCUAUCUAGUCUAUUUCUACAUGAUUGUUUCAUCCGCCCUCAAUGGCUAAAAGUACACACAACUAAGGAUCUCCAGUAGUUUCCUCUCCUCCUCUUCUUUUCUUCAUCUACUAUGAAAUAAUUGGACAAGUGGAAGAAGAAUUGGACAAGUAGGCAUCCACCAUAUUGCUUUCACCUAUCCAAUGUUUUCAGAUCUGUGCAGAUUAUAGAGAGGAGAUGAGGAAAGGAAGCCACUUUAGACUUUUGAGAUGUCCCCAAUCUACAGUAUCUGCAACUCCUCCAUAACAUCAGACUAUUCUAAAAAGGAUUGAGGAAAUAUUCAAUGGCCUGACUGCAGAUGAAAAGUGUCAGUUGGGGGUCACCAGGUAGUUUGGUCAUAUUUAACAAGCACUGAGAUGUUGUAUGGGAGAACCACAUAUUUGCAUUAUAUGACAUUGGGAUCAUAUAUGUAAUUAGCAGGCUAUCUAUACUAUAUAUACUCAUAUUAAAUCAGAUUUGGGAUCUGAUUACAUAUUUAUAUGGAACUGCACUCAUCUGCAUCUUGUCUGAACAGUGUCUGACAUAUCAAUAUAAUAUCAAUAGAAUGAUUCAUAUUUUGCAAGGACGCAAGUCACAGGGGUCAGUACGUCAAACACACAAUGCAUCUCAAAUUGGGGGACACAGGUAACACACACCACGUUGUUGCCGUGGUAACAACAACUCGACAAUGCAAAACUGGGCAACAGGCGUUGAUGUCACCCAGGUAGAGGAGUUUCUAAGCGAAGCCGUCAUUAACUCCUGAUCUUUCUUUUUCUCAACUCUUUUCUCCAUCGGUUUAUCUUUACCUCUUUCUAUCACUCUUUGGCUGUUUUUCUCUCUAUUCCUAUUUUACUCUGUUUUUUUUCUCUACUUCUCUAUCUCUAUUCAGUCUUUCAAUUCCUGCAGUCCAUUGUGUGUGUAGAAUCUCUGAAUCCAUCACUCAUUAACACAAACAACAGCCUCUGGCAACAGAAAUGCACCCCAGUAGUUAUUCCCUGCUCAACAGGGACAGGGCAUUGUGUUUGG
rnacentral:lncRNA from 13 species